rnacentral:rRNA from 2 species
UUCGCAAUGCCCGAAAGGGUGACGAAGCGACGCCGCGUGUGGGAAGAAGGCCUUCGGGUUGUAAACCACUGUCGGGAGUUAAGAAGUGUAAGGGUGUUAAGAGCAUCCUUGCUUGACGUUAGCUCCGGAGGAAGCCACGGCUAACUCUGUGCCAGCAGCCGCGGUAAUACAGAGGUGGCAAGCGUUGUUCGGAAUUAUUGGGCGUAAAGAGCACGUAGGCGGCCCUGCAAGUCAGCUGUGAAAUCCUUCUGCUCAACGGAAGAACGGCAGUUGAUACUACAGGGCUCGAGUGCGGGAGGGGAGAGUGGAACUUCUGGUGGAGCGGUGAAAUGCGUAGAUAUCAGAAGGAACAUCGGCGGCGAAAGCGACUCUCUGGCCCGUAACUGACGCUGAGGUGCGAAAGCUAGGGGAGCAAACGGGAUUAGAUACCCCGGUAGUCCUAGCCGUAAACGAU